GCCGGAGUGGUGGAACGGUAGACACGCAGCACUUAGGAUGCUGUGCCUUCGGGCGUGGGGGUUCGAGUCCCCCCUUCGGCA
rnacentral:tRNA from 1 species